rnacentral:lncRNA from 1 species
ACUCGGGCAGGCUCACCGGGAGAGUUUGGGCAGCCGGGGCCUCGCCAGUCUCAGCCACUCCCAUAUCAGAGUGAGGACUCUGAGCCACGGCGGGGUCGGCUCCCCGCUCCCCCCCCUGCGUCCGGGCCGCCAUUCCCACCAGAGCCCUCCAUCUCCCCUGUGCGCCUGGGAAUCACAUUGCGCACGGCACCAUAUUGUGUUUGUGGUGCUGAACCUUCCAGCGGCUGCAUUAACGCGGUGCGGCAUGCCGUCCGCAAAGGCCUGGAAACGGGCUGGGUGUCGCAGCGAGCCUCUUCAGAAGGUGCGCUGUGAAAAGUCGCCACUCUCCGACAGUGGUGCGUUCUUGGUUGGGCAAGUUUUAGGGCCCGCUAACCAUCCACCUUUUUUUUUUCCUGCCCCAAGGGAAAAAUAUCUGGAAUUGUCGACACUGGAGAAAGAGGCGAAGCUUGAUUUGAGCCGAAGUGAAGAUCCCGAAUCUGUUGAUGGGCCAAGCAGGCUUUUCCAGGUGUUGCAGGAUCUUGAAGAAAUCCACCGCAAGGAGCUCUCCCGGUUGAGUGACUUGGCCAGCCAGGACCGGAAUCACCUGGUGGAGCUGCAGACGUAACUCUCGUUGCGCAUCAGUCGCUCUUGGGCUGAGCUUGUUUCAAGCCCGAUUCCUGGAUUUGCAACUCUUUCUGCACUUGUGCUCCCCUGCUGAGGUGGAACGGAGGCUGGCCCUGCUCCUUGGAAAGCUGAAACAUGGAACAAAUGGCCGUUUCUUUCAGGACCUGUUCAACCUGACAGACCCUCCGGUCUAAACUGGGAAUGCUGGGCCCAAGCCUUCCUUUCAGCAGUUUAACUGAGUCCUAGUUUCUCUGUGGAUGUUUUCCUUUCUAAAGGCUGUACUGAAUUCGUGCUACAAGCUCUUGGCACUUAGCCUGUUUAUUUCCCAAGAUAGUUGACCAGAACUUGGAAGCUUGGGGGGACUGUAGGCAUACUUUUUAUUUUUUUAUGGAGUAACUUUCUAGACCUCAUGGUGAUAGAGAUACCUUUGAAAAUGCAUAGAGAAAUCCACUGUGUUUGGAGGAAGGGGGCAAGGAGUUGGUGCCUUUCACAACUCAUUGUCUGUCUCUUUACGACCUCUGCUCAGAUUCCCUCUGCACAGACCCCUCCGCAUUCCUUCUCAUUUAUUUCAUUUCUGUACCAUCCACAAGCUGAAGCUCGCUGGGCUGUUUACAACCAUUUAUAAAAUCUAGCAGCUUGCAUGCUGGGAGAAGACAAGUUUCCACAAGCAAGUGAGCUUGCCAGGAGGAUGCUGUCCUUGGAUGAAAAGGCCCAGUUUGGCAGAGCGACAGAUUAAGGCUGGAAAGGUUUGCAGGGUGCUUUAAAGGGCAGCAAACUGACAAUAUUUCAUAGCACAAGUUGUAAGGAUGAUACCUCUCGGUUCAAGAGCAGUCUACCCAACAUUUUCAUUGUGGCAAGAAUGGAGGGAGGGCUUGUCAUCCGAGUUUAAUGCACCCCACCUCCCCCAAGAUCUGGGUCCAUCUUCGAGCCAGAUAUAUCUGUUUUAUGUCAUAUAUAUUCCAGUUCAGCAAUAUCUCUGGGUAUGAGGUGAACCUUUUUUCUUUUGGUAAUUUGCAUGCAAUAAAAUGACUUCCUGCCAUUCCAGUGUAGCCAAGAGGAAAGUUUGGUUUGCUUUUCUGGUCCGUCGCCCCCUUUCCGGGCAGAGAGAUUCUGAAUGUAGAAUAAAAGAUUGUUUAUCACAUGCUGCUUCUCAGGGAUGACGG